AUAACUAGACUACUAUAAAUUUGCAGACAUUCUCAAAAAUCAAUCACCAUGUCAUGAGCACACACUUUAGAGGACUUUUAAAGGUUAUAACGUGGCCUGGUUAAAAGGUGGAUGGUGGCUUUUCUGGUAAGUGAGUAAAAAAAACUUGAAAUUAGAUACCACUGAGUCGAAUAGAUACAACACCCCACCCUACUUUGUAAGAAUUUAUACUUAGAGAACAAUUUUCUUUCACAAAAUUCCUUUUUGUUUUCAAGAAGAUCACCAUGAUUAUUAUUUUUUUUUUCGAUACUUCUUUUCUUGGUGAACUUUUGAAUUUUUUUCUUUCAUAAUUUGGAAUUUUUCUUUCAUGAUUUUUUUAGUUCUCUAGUAUAGUAUAUCCACCCCAAACUUAAGUUGUUGCUAGUUCCAAAAGCAACCCCAAACUUAGUGUAAUGCAUUGUGCAAAAACCACUAAAGGUAUCUAAUUCUCCAAGAAAAUCAUUUUUUUUUUAUUUAUAUUAUUUUGAUAACUUGGGUCAGAUACAAACAAAACAUUUUUUUUUAGGCUCAAAAGGGGUUAAACAACGGAUAAGCAAUGAUAAGGGUGGCUAGAACAGGCUCAAGGUACCAAACAACUUGCCUCGUGUGUACAUCACAACAAUAAAUCAAUUAAAGAGAACAUGCNNNNNNNNNNNNNNNUUCUCAUAAUCAUCAAAAGAAAUCAGUGUUUGGGCUCAAAAUCUCACAGUUUUUGCUGAAUUAAACUAUGGUCAAUAUUUGUGAGAGUCCCUAAGCCUUGCCUAAAUCAUCACUAUGAUGCAUCAGAAACAAUCAAAAACAUCACAAAUUCAUAUCAUACAUUUGGUCAACAAUUUUGAAUCUAAGAUGAUAGCCAAACAAAUUUCAAAUAGUGUGAGGUUUUCAAAAAGACUAAGACAUUCAAAGAAAACAA
rnacentral:lncRNA from 1 species